AUUGAACGCUGGCGGCAUGCCUUACACAUGCAAGUCGAACGGUAGAGCAGCAAUGCUUGAGAGUGGCGAACGGGUGAGUAAUAUAUCGGAACGUGCCCAGUCGUGGGGGAUAACGUAGAGAAAUUUACGCUAAUACCGCAUACGAUCUAAGGAUGGAAGCGGGGGACUCGCAAGAGCCUCGCGCGAUUGGAGCGGCUGAUAUCAGAUUAGGUUGUUGGUGAGGUAAAAGCUCACCAAGCCGACGAUCUGUAGCUGGUUUGAGAGAACGACCAGCCACACUGGGACUGAGACACGGCCCAGACUCCUACGGGAGGCAGCAGUGGGGAAUUUUGGACAAUGGGCGAAAGCCUGAUCCAGCAAUGCCGCGUGUGGGAAGAAGGCCUUCGGGUUGUAAACCACUUUUGUACGGAACGAAACGGUCUGCUUUAAUACAGCGGGCUAAUGACGGUACCGUAAGAAUAAGCACCGGCUAACUACGUGCCAGCAGCCGCGGUAAUACGAAGGUCCCAAGCGUUGUUCGGAAUCACUGGGCGUAAAGGGAGCGUAGGCGGCGUGGUAAGUCAGAUGUGAAAUCCCGGGGCUCAACCCCGGAACUGCAUC
rnacentral:rRNA from 1 species